rnacentral:rRNA from 1 species
GACAGAGGGUGCAAACGUUGUUCGGAAUUACUGGGCGUAAAGCGCGUGUAGGCGGCCCUGCAAGUCGGGUGUGAAAUCUCCGGGCUCAACUCGGAGGGGCCACCCGAUACUGCUGUGACUCGAGUCCGGUAGGGGAGUGGGGAAUUCCUGGUGUAGCGGUGAAAUGCGCAGAUAUCAGGAGGAACACCGGUGGCGAAGGCGCCACUCUGGGCCGGUACUGACGCUGAGGAGCGAAAGCGUGGGUAGCAAACAGG